rnacentral:lncRNA from 1 species
AACCUUGCCACAAUCGCAAGGGGUCUUUGACUUUGUGUGUAAACGUGUUGAGCAUGCCAUGGCAUGUUUGGCAAUGUAGGGAAACAUCAAUGCUCACGCAUAAUCACAUCGAUAACCUUGCAAACGUAGCGUAUGCCAUGGAGUUCAGGAGCAACAAUGGUUGUCCUACACGAAGAUAUAGAUGAAACCAAGACAACAUGAGGGCAUGCCAAACAAGAAAUUCAAGCAAAGAAAUCUUGUUGCACAAAAUGUAGAGCUCUAUCUCGAUAAGAUUGUGAUAGGUUUGUGGACAUGUAAAUAGCACUAAUACUGUCACAAAUGAGGGCGGGGACGGUCGCCUUCCAUAGAGGAUGGUUGAGUUCAUGGAGAAGCACCACAGCCAAGUUGGAAAAGGUGAUAGCACACCUCCACAACUGCGUGAGGAAGUCAUCUAGCAUUAGAGGAUUGCGAUGCUAGGUUGUCUCUGAGGUAGAGAUAAUAUCCAUACUUGGUGACCAAAUAUCUAGUAAACUCAUUGAAUCACCAUCUGUAUAUGCGGUAAGGGACAUUGCUGAGGAGCGAGUGAUCCAUAAAUUGUAAGAAAGGGAGCCCUUGAUGCAUCGAAGAACAUGUUUGAACAACAAGGUAUGACAAUCAUGAGGAUCAUCUAUAUGCAAAUAAAUCAAUCACAUAAUAAUACACAACAUCAAUGAGGCACUGAAGGAAAUGAUGAUCCAUCAAUAGGCGAUCCACCUAGCAUGUGGGAAAUUGAGGGUGGCGGAUAUUUUACAUCAGGUGAUCCUCAAGAGCAUACUUGUCAGAGGUGGCCUCAAGAGCAUGUGAAACAUGGCAUAGUUGAGCUUAAUGCUCAAGUGUGACAGGUACUAUACUAGGAUUGUGCUGUUACCACAUUGACCACUUGAGGCCACAAAUGGUCGUUGAUAGGAGUUCUUGCUUUGUUUUGCAAUUAACUUAUAUGAGAAGAAGCGCAUGUGAUGGAGAGGCGCAUGAGGCAUAAGCAAAGGCUCUGGGGACGUGGAACCAUGCCGAUGUUCCUCGUCUCAAGAACGCAGAAACAUUAUCAUCCCCACCUUGUCAAAACCUCCCUCAAGUAGCAUGCCGCAUUCCUCAAUCACGUUCCUUGACCCCAUUGGCUCGGGAGCUUGUUGACUAGGGGCGUACGUGAAAGAGGGAGUAGAUUGAAUCAAGCUUGUCGAGUAGCAAUGAGUAGGUAGGCAUUCGCACAAGGCUCCCAUAUCCUGAUUAACUUACUUAAGCAUAUACUUGAUUGGAAGAAAACAAGAAAAGCCCCACAAAGCCUAAAUGCCUAAUACGUGAACAUUCAUGAGGCCGAUUAGGUUCAUGGCUCUAUGCUAUUCUGACGUGCGCAUCCGCCAUCUCCCAGCCGCCGGAUCCUGCUCUGAGCUGCCGCAUGCCAGCACAUGCCGCACCUGACAAGUGCUAUCACUAAGGAGUUGCUGCCAUGACUCAUGUUGCUCGUGCCGAUUCCCGAGUUGCCAACACCCAAGGAAGUACCAAAGAGAAUCUAGAAACAUCACUUAUGAUCAUCAUGCAAUUAACAAAUUAACAGAUAAAAGAAAAAUCUUCUUCACCACAAGGAGAAGUCAGAAGAGCAAUGUCGUGAAAUUGCAUUUUAAACAUGCUCAAGUGAGAGGACACACUUAAACCGAACAAAGGAGCAUGUGGAGCCAAUAUGUUCGAGGUUGUUGCAAGAAGACCUCCCUUAGUAAGCUCAUCAUUGAGAAUGGUACUUUUUACUUCGAAGAAUGGAUCAUAAUGUGGAAAGAGCACCCACCCUUCACAAUGGUGACUCACUGCGAAGCCGAAGACAUGCUAGUGGUGGCUAAGGUUUAGGUUUGGGGCAAAAGCAACGUAGGUUCUCUAUGUUUGAGUGCCCAACAGGGCUAAUAUACAAGAGACAAUACGCACAAUGCAAGAAACAUCCUACACUAGAAGCUAAAUACAAAACUAUACAUACUCAUGCAAUACAGUUCAAACAGAGAAGGAAAAAAAUCAAAGGUAACAUGCCAUUAACUAAGCUAAUCUAUGUAGCAUAACAAUUAACGAACAAACUUUAACUCUUAUGAUAAGACUGUAACAGUAGCAGUCACCAAACCAAACAAAGAGACAACCAAAAUAAGUAGUACAAGGUUCACAGCACUAUCCCCUGUUUUGCUUCUUACCAUCACGGGUUGCUCAGUACCAACGUUUUGCAAGCAGCAACCUACUCAUAGCCUCUAAGAAGUUCGAGCGUCAAGCACAUAUCAAUAUAAGUAAAAAGGAGCUCAAGGAAGUGCCUGCUGAUGUCAUGGGCGGAGGCUGCGACGGGUUCCUCCGGCGGGGCAGCGUUGAUGUCAAGCGGGAC